rnacentral:sRNA from 1 species
UUUACAACUGAUACUUACCUGAGACGGUGUUCAACUUUCUGUUGGGCCAUUGCAUUGCCACUGAUUUUCCAACAUAUAAAAAGACAAGCCCGAACAGUCGUCCGGGCUUUUUUU